GACGAACGCUGGCGGCGUGCUUAACACAUGCAAGUCGAACGAUGAAGCAGAGAAGCGCGAACUUCGGUUCAAAUUUCACUUCGGAUUAGUGGCAGACGGGUGAGUAACGCGUGAGCAACCUACCUCUUACAAAGGGAUAGCCUCGGGAAACCGUGAUUAAUACCAUAUGACACAUUCAUAAGGCAUCUUAAGAAUGUUAAAGCUACGGCGGUAAGAGAUGGGCUCGCGUCCCAUUAGCUAGUUGGUGAGGUAACGGCCCACCAAGGCGACGAUGGGUAACCGGCCUGAGAGGGUGAACGGUCACAUUGGAACUGAGACACGGUCCAAACUCCUACGGGAGGCAGCAGUGGGGAAUAUUGCACAAUGGAGGGAACUCUGAUGCAGCGACGCCGCGUGAGCGAUGAAGGAAUUCGUUUCGUAAAGCUCUGUUCUAUGGGAAGAAAAGGACUGUACCAUAGGAGAAAGCCCCGGCUAAAUACGUG
rnacentral:rRNA from 1 species